rfam:Asian citrus Psyllid, Diaphorina citri - Florida Strain, whole genome shotgun sequence.
GCCAUUGGCAACAGCACAUUGAAUGAUGCAAGAGUUCCCAAUGGUUCACUGAAGUUGAGCAACGUUGCACGUGGUUGGUACCCAAAUGGGUGACCGUCUGGCCAAUCGUGUGGUGAUGACU